AGUGGCGAACGGGUGAGUAACACGUGGGGAACCUGCCCAUAAGAGGGGGAUAACAUCCGGAAACGGGUGCUAAUACCGCAUAGGUGAUCAUAGCGCAUGCUUAGAUCAUUAAAGAUGGCUUCGGCUAUCGCUUAUGGAUGGCCCCGCGGCGUAUUAGCUAGUUAGUAAGGUAAUGGCUUACCAAGGCAGUGAUACGUAGCCGACCUGAGAGGGUGAUCGGCCACACUGGGACUGAGACACGGCCCAGACUCCUACGGGAGGCAGCAGUAGGGAAUCUUCCACAAUGGGCGAAAGCCUGAUGGAGCAAUGCCGCGUGAGUGAAGAAGGUCUUCGGAUCGUAAAGCUCUGUUGUUAGAGAAGAACAAGAGGUGUAGUAACUGGCACCUCCUUGACGGUAUCUAACCAGAAAGUCACGGCUAACUACGUGCCAGCAGCCGCGGUAAUACGUAGGUGACAAGCGUUGUCCGGAUUUAUCGGGCGUAAAGCGAGCGCAAGCGGUCUUUUAAGUCUGAUGUGAAAGCCCACGGCUCAACCGUGGAUGGUCAUUGGAAACUGGAAGACUUGAAUGCAGAAGAGGAAAGUGGAAUUCCAUGUGUGGCGGUGAAAUGCGUAGAUAUAUGGAGGAACACCAGUGGCGAAGGCGACUUUCUGGUCUGUAAUUGACGCUGAGGCUCGAAAGCGUGGGGAGCGAACAGGAUUAAAUACCCU
rnacentral:rRNA from 1 species